UCCCCUUUGGAGAUCACUGGAAACAGCUUCUGGACCACAAAUGGGGUGAACUACUGUAUCGAGAAAGGAGAGAGUAAGACUUGAGAGCUAUCUUUUUAGCUCAGGGUGCAGUCUGUACUCUAAAACAAGUGUGGAAGUGGAGCACUCUACAUAUCCUAAGUGCCAAAAAUAUUCCUCUUCAUGAAAUUCGCCAGAUCUGCAAAACACAGCUCCUUUUGAAGAGAAGAGCCAGGGAACUCCAUUAGCAGGCUUUGAUGGCAUUAAUAAUUCAGAGAGAUGCCCUCUAUCUUCUUUAAGAUAGACAGAAGGGUCCCUUUUAAUGUAUAACCAGGCAGAAAAGAGGAGAGGACACGGGUGGGAGAGAAGAGGAGGUUGCAAGCCAGCACCUGCCCCACACCAGGGGAUGGAAGCUAAUUGUGAAAAGCUGCCCCACUACAGCUGCUGCCUCUUGAAAAAUGCAAACUGUGUUUUGAGCAAACAUAUCAUCCACUUGCAGUAUAAAAACGCUGGUGUCUCUCCGCGGAAACUCCGAGAGGAGCAGAGGUCUGUAGAGGUAGAGACGUAGGCUUCGGAUCUUUUAGAAUUCUGCUGGAAGUCUCCAAGUCAAGAGGAUCUACAAAGAAAUACUGAGUGGAGACUAUACUGAGAUUCUGUUAAAGACCCACUUGAAUUCAGCCCCCAUUAGGAGAAACUUUGGCCGGAGCAGCCAACACAUCACCUGGAAGUCUUCAGACUAGACUAUUGAAGAGUGGAUUGUGUACUGAGGGCUCCCAAGUGCUUCCAGAAGCCAAUAAAGGAUCACUUCAGUUUACUUCACGGCUAAGGAGUAACCCUUAAG
rnacentral:lncRNA from 1 species